rnacentral:rRNA from 1 species
CAGUCGCCGCGGUAAUACGAAGGGGGCUAGCGUUGUUCGGAUUUACUGGGCGUAAAGGGCGCGUAGGCGGACUGAUAAGUCAGGGGUGAAAUCCCAAGGCUCAACCUUGGAACUGCCUUUGAUACUGUUUGUCUUGAGUUCGAGAGAGGUAAGUGGAACUGCGAGCGUAGAGGUGAAAUUCGUAGAUAUUCGCAAGAACACCAGUGGCGAAGGCGGCUUACUGGCUCGAAACUGACGCUGAGGCGCGAAAGCGUGGGGAGCAAACAGGAUUAGAUACCCGCGUAGUCCCUGUCUCUUAUAC